rnacentral:rRNA from 1 species
UACGUAGGGUGCAAGCGUUAAUCGGAAUUACUGGGCGUAAAGCGCACGUAGUCGGCUUUGCAAGUCGGGUGUGAAAUCCCCGGGCUCAACCUGGGAACUGCAUCCGAGACUGCAUUGCUAGAGUAUGGGAGAGGGGAAGCGGAAUUUCUGGUGUAGCAGUGAAAUGCGUAGAUAUCAGAAGGAACAUCAGUGGCGAAGGCAGCUUCCCUGGACCAAUACUGACGAUCAGGUGCGAAAGCGUGGGGAGCAAACAGG